UCCGGUUUAACACCGGCAGUCCCUUUAGAGUGCCCAACUAAAUGCUGGCAACUAAAGGCAAGGGUUGCGCUCGUUGCGGGACUUAACCCAACAUCUCACGACACGAGCUGACGACAGCCAUGCAGCACCUGUCUAGCGGCCCGAAGGCUGCGAUAUCUCUACCGCAUUCCACUAGAUGUCAAACCCAGGUAAGGUUCUUCGCGUUGCAUCGAAUUGAACCACAUGCUCCACCGCUUGUGCGGGCCCCCGUCAAUUUCUUUGAGUUUUAAUCUUGCGACCGUACUUCCCAGGCGGGAUACUUACCGCGUUAGCUGCGACACUGAAGGGGUCAAUACCUCCAACAUCAAGUAUCCAUCGUUUACGGCGUGGACUAC
rnacentral:misc_RNA from 1 species